rnacentral:rRNA from 1 species
CACGUAGGGGGCAAGCGUUGUCCGGAUUUAUUGGGCGUAAAGAGCUCGUAGGUGGCUGAGUAAGUCGGAUGUUAAAUCCCCAGGCUCAACCUGGGACACCACCCGAUACUGCUCUGGCUAGAGUCCGGUAGGGGAGCGUGGAAUUCCCGGUGUAGCGGUGAAAUGCGCAGAUAUCGGGAAGAACACCUAUGGCGAAGGCAGCUCUCUGGGACGGUACUGACGCUGAGACGCGAAAGCGUGGGGAGCGAACAGG